rnacentral:rRNA from 1 species
AUUGAACGCUGGCGGCAUGCCUUACACAUGCAAGUCGAACGGCAGCGCGGACUUCGGUCUGGCGGCGGGUGGCGAACGGGUGAGUAAUGUAUCGGAACGUACCAUUCAGUGGGGGAUAACGCAGCGAAAGUUGCGCUAAUACCGCAUAUUCUGUGCGCAGGAAAGCAGGGGAUCGCAAGACCUUGCGCUGAUUGAGCGGCCGAUAUCAGAUUAGCUAGUUGGUGAGGUAAAGGCUCACCAAGGCGACGAUCUGUAGCGGGUCUGAGAGGAUGAUCCGCCACACUGGAACUGAGACACGGUCCAGACUCCUACGGGAGGCAGCAGUGGGGAAUUUUGGACAAUGGGCGCAAGCCUGAUCCAGCCAUGCCGCGUGAGUGAAGAAGGCCUUCGGGUUGUAAAGCUCUUUCGGCCGGGAAGAAAUCGUAUGGGUUAAUACCCUGUGCGGAUGACGGUACCGGCAUAAGAAGCACCGGCUAACUACGUGCCAGCAGCCGCAGUAAAAC